AGCAGCCGCGGUAAUUCCAGCUCCAAUAGCGUAUAUUAAAGUUGUUGCAGUUAAAAAGCUCGUAGUUGAAUUUCGGGGUCAGUAGAUUGGUCGUGCCACUGGUAUGCACUGGUCUCACUGGCUCCUCCUUCCUGGCGAACCGUAAUGCCAUUAAUUUGGUGUUGCGGGGGAGACUGGACUGUUACUUUGAAAAAUUAGAGUGUUUAAAGCAGGCUAACGCUUGAAUACAUUAGCAUGGAAUAAUGAAAUAGGACGUUCGAUUCUAUUUUGUUGGUUUCUAGGAUUGACGUAAUGAUUAAUAGGGAUAGUUGGGGGCAUUAGUAUUCAAUUGUCAGAGGUGAAAUUCUUGGAUUUAUUGAAGACUAACUACUGCGAAAGCAUUUGCCAAGGAUGUUUUCAUUA
rnacentral:sRNA from 1 species